CUGCCAGUAAAUUCUGCUAGGAGGAAUAAAUGAUAAUAUUUAUACUUUUAUGAAACUCCCUCUCUUUCCAUCUUGCAAAUAGAUUUGAAGCCAAGGUUUUCCGAAGCUGCUUUAUGCUAUAUCCUUUCAUGCCCAGUUACUGCAAAAUUGGAGGCUUAUCAUCAUUUAACUGACGUGAAUGUGUAUGACAAUGCCACAACUAUUUAUUAGUCAUCAACUAUGAAAAUAAACAAAAGGUUUCAGAAAAUACAGCUGUAUCAGAAUUGCAGAAAGCCAAGGAUGCUUCAUUUGUCUGCAUAAAAGGUGCAAGAUUGGCCUCUGUGAUUCCUACACUGUGAACAUCAGGAAGAUUAGCAUUACCAAAAUACAAUGCAGAAGAGGAUAUUUGAAAGGCUUUUUGUUAAGCCUGUCCAAGAAUCCCUUGGCCCAGGACUGCAGGUUCAACUGAAGAUCCGACAGUGGCAUUAAUAUCUUAUUUUGGACAAAAACUCCUAUUUCAUGUUCAUUGCUGUAAGUUCUCUAAGGCUGGGAGGUGACAGAUUUCUGUGGAGCGCUGUAAUGCUGAGUCACCCAGGCAUCCAAUAAUACAAUCCAGCAGGAGCUCCAAGAUGUAAGGCCUCCUAUCUUGGGAAGCUGAGGGCACAGCACAGCACAGCUGAGGAUACAUACCUGACCAUUCCCAGUGUCCGAGCACAAGUGCAGCUUCGACUUCCCUCUGUGAUAACGAUAGACGUGGGUUGCCCCUCCUUCCUCUGGCACAGAUGAAUAAUAUUUCUGGAGAAGUAAUGUGAAAGAUGCUGGGUAACCAAAUAGACUGGUCAAAUUUUCAAAAAACUCCUUGUUACUUGGGCAAAUGUGGUUAAGGAGGGAGGCAAGAGAGCAAAGGUAAAUUACCUGCCCUCUUGAGAGGCCUUUGAAGUCAUAUAACAAAUCUUAGCCCGUGUAAAGUGGCUGCAGAGAAGGAAACUGCACUUGGCCUUACUUUGCUGCCAUCUGCUGCCUCUGUAGGGCAAGAACUCUGGCAACUCAAGCUGGGUAGGACCAUGCUCUCUGCCAGGUUAAAUAAUUUUCACAACAUCCUCACCCCGAGGUCAAAUACACAAGCCCUUUCAUCUCCUCUCAUGACAAGUUCUGACAAACAGGUCUGGGUUUACUAAGUCUCAGACAAGGACAAGAGAAGAGAGAGGUGCAUCUCCUUGAGAUUUAGAAAUACAACAAGAAAUAUAACAUAAACCCAACAGCUAUGCAGCCGUUCUCCCCAUGCGGAGGAGGGGAGGGAGAAGACUCCGAUCUAAGCAAAAAUAAUCCAAAGGAUCAGAAUGCAGUUUUUUUCUUGUCCACUUCCUUCCUCCCCCUCAAAGUUAACCUUAGACUUGCCCCUGAUUGUGACUAAUGAUGAGGACAACAUAAGCCUGCUUGCUUUGAACAGAGGGUAGGGACAAUGUUUAAGGCAAGAGACCAAAAGAAUGAGAAGCUGGGGAAAGCAUGUCAGGACAUGACUCUAAUGAUGUAAUUUAGGGGAUGCUCCAAAAUUCUGAAAGCAAACUCAAACACUGUCUUAAUUCUAUUUCUAGAAAGCUGAGAGGUUCUGAGCCUCCAUUCCUUAAUGGAGAUUUGAACUAAAGCAUGAACUGAAAACCAAAACGAAGAACACCAAUUUGCUAAACCUCAAACCAAAGACAAAUAUUAUUCCUUUUACUGAACCAUGAACCAAAGUGUUUAACUUGAUCACUUUAUAGUAGAGCCAAAGUUAUGGAUUUUUCUAAAACCAUUUAACAAAAUAAUAACAUAAAAA